rnacentral:rRNA from 1 species
GACAGAGGGGGCAAGCGUUGCUCGGAAUCACUGGGCGUAAAGGGCGCGUAGGCGGUGCGGUAAGUCUGUAGUGAAAUCUCUGGGCUCAACUCAGAGUCUGCUGCAGAAACUGCCGUGCUUGAGUGUGGGAGAGGUGAGUGGAAUUCCCGGUGUAGCGGUGAAAUGUGUAGAGAUCGGGAGGAACACCGGUGGCGAAGGCGGGUCUCUGGGCAAUUCCUGACGCUGAGGCGCGAAAGCGUGGGGAGCAAACGGG